AAGAUGAAACGAUGAACUAAAGACUGCUGAAUCUUAUGGUAAAAGCAGUGGAUAUUCUGAAGAUGUUAUCGUAUUCAUUGGAGAAGACGCCUUACAAAAAUUUCGAUAAAUUUGUGCAAAGCAUUUUCAUCAAAAGUGAAUCAUGAGCGCCGACGACGACGUUGAUAACGUUGAUCAACAAGAAUUAAACAGUGUUUUAUGUACUGAAGAAGUUGCAAGCGAUUCUUGAAAUUCAUAUUCCAUUGGAAUCCUACAGUGGCAGUACGGCCCUACGAACGAACGAUUUGUCUCUGAAUCGAGACAGUAAACAUCAAUAUGCUGUCCUGUUGAAGAGCUAGAAAUCCUACGGAGGUAAUGGUUACCCCAAAGGAUUAGGGAAAAUUAAAAAAACAACACAGUUGAGAGAACGUUGCUAAAUCGAUCAGCGUACAAGAACCUCAUAGAAGUAAAUGAUUUGAGCCCGGGAGUAUCGUUACAUGGUUUUAAAUGUACAUCGUCCAGAGGGUGCAGACAAGAAUAAGAGAAUUAGUCAGUGGUCCAGAGAAUUCCAAGGGCUGCAGAGCGGUUAUGGCAUUGUCUGCAAAUGGAAGGACUGAACGUUCCAAGAGCCAUUGUCCAAGACUUGCUUGAAGCAAUGGAUCCUGAAUUAACAGAACCUUUCCUGUCUGUCGUAUGAUAAAUCAAAAGAAUUCAAAAGAAAGUUGCUGGCAUUAGGCAAGGGACAUGCAUUUGCAAAGCCUUAAGUCUUUAUUUGUCUAUGAAAUCAAUAUUUUUUACAAUUAAUCAAAAAUAUGAGUUUUGAAAAUGUA